UAUCCAAUCUGAUUUUCACUUUUUACCCCCUAAUUUCUCUUCCCUCUCUUCCUCACUUUCGUUCCCCGUAAUACACCACUACCAUUGAACCACUCUUCCUCUCUUCUUCACUCUCCAUCAUCCAUUGUUCACUCAACCAUUCACUCUCCAUCAGUCGUUCAUUCGCUGCCUUGCGAGAGCGUUUCUCUCGUCUCCAUUAUCGUCCAUCAGUCGUUCAUUCGCUGCCUUGCGAGAGCGUUUCUCUCGUCUCCAUUAUCGAAGGCUCUCGUUGCCUCUCCAUCAUCGAAGGCUCUUGCUGCCUCUCCAUCAUCUCAUUGAACCACAGUUCAAGUAUGUUUGUCUAGGUAGGCUUUGAGAUGAUUGAUGCAAUUGCUGAGUCGUAAGGGAUUCCUAUGAACACUGCCCAUUCCAAAGCCAUUUUUGGAAAAGGUUUGCUCGUUCCCUUGCUUAGAUAUUUCUAUUUUCUGUUCCUCUCUCUAUGUUUAUUGUAUUCAUGAAUUUUUGCGCAAGUUGGUUUGUUGCAGGUUUUGUUGGUGAAGUUCAUGUCUUCCUUGCAAAUCUUCAUACUUACAUGAAUCUGAGUGGUGAAUCAGUAAGGAAACAGGAUGUGCUGAUUUUUUUCUCUCUCUUAACAAUUUGGAUAUUUAACUUUAGAUUGUGCAAGUUGUGCUAUCUAUAUAGCUUGUCACUUGCCACUCUCAAAAAUUUAUUGACCACGAGUUCCUUUAAUCGCUUAAGCUUAUAGUCUACUUUGAAGGGUAGCUUUUCUAAUAUGCACAUCCUUCUUCAGUCUAUUGAAAAGGAGUCAGCCUAAUUUUGGUUGUACAUUCUAAUUCCCAAGGGCGUUUAUAAGACUACUUGAUUGAGGGUGGGAUUUUUCCUAAUUGCAACUAUGAAAUUCCAAUAACAGUUCAAACAGAACGCAACUCAAACAAGUAAACUUUUGGCCAAAGGAUAAAUAAUAUGUAUAUAUCGGCUUACACUAGUGGAAGAUCAACAUCUGAGGUAGAUUCACUAAGCAUGUGCUCCAUCUCUUGUAUAUUCUGUUUUAGUUGACGAGACAAUUUAUCUUUUGCUGGGAGUUUUGCAAUGUUGGGAGUAUUGCUUACCAGCCACUCUAUACACUUUUUAAGUCGUCAAUAACUUUGAUGAAAAGAUGAAGCUAACAUCGUUAUAUAUAUUUCAGACAUAUCUUCCAAGCGAAACACCGACUCCACUGGUGAAAUAUAGAGAAGAAGAGUUAGUUAAUUUGGGAGGAGAUGGAAUGGGAUAACGUAGAGAGUGGGAGAGGGUCUAUGACUAUGAUGUCUACAAGAUAAGGAUGAAAAUCAUGUGCGUCCUAUUCUUGGAGGGUCUGACACCUUGCCUUAUGCUCGUAGGGGGAGGACUGGUAGAAGACCAACAAGGAAAGAUCCAAACAGUGAGAUGAAGCUUUUGGACAUUUGAAGUUAGUGGCCCCAUAUUCCCUAUUUUUUCUCCUUUUCUUACAAAUUAUUAGGAAGUUUAUAUAACUUUGUCAUUUUGUUUUUAUUUUCUAUUUAUUUAUUUUGUGUAUCUUGUAUCAGUGCUAUGCUGCACUGUAGUUAUUAAACGUUCAAGAAUACAUUAAAAACAUUUUGUUUUAUCUCUCUACUGAAAGAGUGAGAUAGUACAGUUAAAAAGGUUUAUUGGUUAUUUAUAGA